rnacentral:rRNA from 1 species
UACGUAGGGCGCAAGCGUUAUCCGGAAUUACUGGGCGUAAAGGGCUCGUAGGCGGCCAACUAAGUCAUACGUGAAAUCCCUCAGCUUAACUGGGGAACUGCGUGUGAUACUGGAUGGCUUGGAUUUGGGAGAGGGAUGCGGAAUUCCAGGUGUAGCGGUGAAAUGCGUAGAUAUCUGGAGGAACACCGGUGGCGAAGGCGGCAUCCUGGACCAAUAUUGACGCUGAGGAGCGAAAGCCAGGGGAGCAAACGGG